rnacentral:rRNA from 1 species
GUAGUAGCAAAUACUCUAGCGAGGCCCUGGAGGGCUGAGGCGGAGAAGGGUUUCGUGUGAACAGCCGUUGCACACGAGUCAGUCGAUCCUAAGCCCUAGGGGAAACCCGAUGUAUGCGGCCUGCGGCACGUUGGGCGAAAGGGAAUCCGGUCCCCAUUCCGGAACCCGGUAGCGGAACCGUCUCACGUCGGGCCUGCCCGUCCGCCCCCGUCAACGGGGCGUGCGGGAAGCUCGUCGGGGUAACCCAAACUGACCCGGAGAAGCCGUCGGGAGGCGAGGGAAGAGUUUUCUUUUCUGUUUGAGCGUUCGGGUUCCAUGGAAUCGCCUAGCGCGGAGAGAUGGAAUGGAGCGCGUAGAGCUUCGCAGUUGCGGCGAAGUCCUCGCAUGCCCUUCGGACCUUGAAAAUCCGGGGACGGGCCACGUGGAGGUGUCGCGCCGGUUCGUACCCAUAUCCGCAGCAGGUCUCCAAGGUGAAGAGCCUCUAGUCGAUAGACUAAUGUAGGUAAGGGAAGUCGGCAAAUUGGAUCCGUAACUUCGGAAUAAGGAU